AUCCAGUUUAAGAGUCACAAAAGUGACGAAACGCGCGUCCUGGAU
rnacentral:hammerhead_ribozyme from 1 species